AAUCAACGCUGGCGGCGUGCCUCAGACAUGCAAGUCGAACGAUUAAAGCUCUCUUCGGAGAGUGUAUAGAGUGGCGCACGGGUGAGUAACACGUAAGUAAUCUACCCUCGAGUGGGGAAUAACGUCCGGAAACGGACGCUAAUACCGCAUAAUGCAGCGGCACCGCAAGGUGACAGUUGUUAAAGGAGAAAUUCGCUUGAGGAGGAGCUUGCGGCAGAUUAGCUUGUUGGUAAGGUAACGGCUUACCAAGGCUACGAUCUGUAACCGGUCUUAGAGGACGGUCGGUCACACUGACACUGAAUAACGGGUCAGACUCCUACGGGAGGCAGCAGUCGGGAAUUUUGGGCAAUGGGCGAAAGCCUGACCCAGCAACGCCGCGUGAAGGAUGAAGUAUUUCGGUAUGUAAACUUCGAAAGAAUAGGAAGAAUAAAUGACGGUACUAUUUAUAAGGUCCGGCUAACUACGUGCCAGCCGCCGCGGU
rnacentral:rRNA from 1 species